rnacentral:rRNA from 1 species
UAACAACUCACCUGCCGAAUGAAUUAGCCCUGAAAAUGGAUGGCGCUGAAGCGGGCUGCCGACACCGUGCCGUCUGGGCGAGAAAGGCCCCAGAUGAGUAGGAGGGCGUGGCGGCCGUAUCGAAGCACGCGUGCAAACGCGUGUGGAACGGCCGCUAGUGCAGAUCUUGGUGGUAGUAGCAAGUAUUCAAGCGAGAUCCUUGAAGGGCGAAGCGGGGAAGGGUUCCACGCGAACAUUGAUUGGGCGUGGGUGAGUCGUUCCUAAGCCGAGUGGCGAUUGCUAAGUAGCGGCGAAAGGGAAGCGGGUUGAAAUUCCCGCACACGGAUGUGGACGCGGUGACGCGAGUGAUGGGGCGAAGACGCUGGCGACGGCGCUGGGCAGAGUUGUCUUUUCUGUUUGACCAGUUUGCGCGCGCGGUGUGGAAUCCGCUUGUCGGGAGAAACACGCGUGUGCGGGCAGAGCGCCGGGGCUUUUCCGGCGUCCAGCUCGCCGUCGACGGCCCUUGAAAAUUUGCCUGCUGAAAAUCUUUGAUUUGAAAUCCACGCCGUGGCGUACCGAUCACCGCAUCAGGUCCCCAAGGUGAACAGCCUCUGCUCAGUAUGAAUAAU